rnacentral:miRNA from 1 species
UUUAUGGAGCCUUUGGCAAG